AUUGAACGCUGGCGGCAGGCCUAACACAUGCAAGUCGCACGAGUGGCGGACGGGUGAGUAAUUUCUGGGAAACUGCCUGAUGGAGGGGGAUAACUCCUGGAAACGGUAGCUAAUACCGCAUACCAUCAGAUGUGCCCAGGUGGGAUUAGCUUGUUGGUGGGGUAACGGCUCACCAAGGCGACGAUCCCUAGCUGGUCUGAGAGGAUGACCAGCGACACUGGAACUGAGAUACGGACCAGACUCCUACGGGAGGCAGCAGGGGGGAAUAUUGCACAAUGGGCGCAAGCCUGAUGCAGCCAGGCCGCGUGUAUGAAGAAGGCCGUCGGGUGGUAAAGUACGUUCAGCGGGGAGGAGUUACCCGCAGAAGAAGCACCGGCUAACUCCGUGCCAGCAGCCGCGGGAAUAC
rnacentral:rRNA from 1 species